AUUGAACGCUGGCGGCAUGCUUUACACAUGCAAGUCGAACGGCAGCACGGGAGCUUGCUCCUGGUGGCGAGUGGCGAACGGGUGAGUAAUACAUCGGAACGUACCCUGAAGUGGGGGAUAACGUAGCGAAAGUUACGCUAAUACCGCAUAUUCUGUGAGCAGGAAAGCAGGGGAUCGCAAGACCUUGCGCUCUGGGAGCGGCCGAUGUCGGAUUAGCUAGUUGGUGGGGUAAAGGCCUACCAAGGCGACGAUCCGUAGCGGGUCUGAGAGGAUGAUCCGCCACACUGGGACUGAGACACGGCCCAGACUCCUACGGGAGGCAGCAGUGGGGAAUUUUGGACAAUGGGCGAAAGCCUGAUCCAGCCAUGCCGCGUGAGUGAAGAAGGCCUCGGUUGUAAGACUCUUCGUGGAGAAUAGCAUGGGCGU
rnacentral:rRNA from 1 species